ensembl:lncRNA
UUUAGCUUCUUCCUGUCUGCUACUGACACAAACAGCCCUUGCUCAUUUAUUAGCAGCUGUGCAGCCAAUUAUCUCCCUGCCCCCUUUCCUGUGUUCUACCAGCAGCUUCGGCCAUGCACAGGGGAGGAGAGGUAGGGAGGCAAAGGGGGGAGGAGAGGAGAGAGAGAGAGAGAAGGGGAGUGUUCCUCUCCUCUGACAUCGUCAUAAAGGAAUCCCCUCUGCUAGGCUGAGCCCGCCUACUUGCUUACUCUCACCCCGUCUGGCUCCCAGACACACUCGCGUUCACACACACUCCUGUCUGCACGGCCAAAGCAGGAACGGACUGACAAGGAAAAAAGGACAAAGAGUGGGAGACGCGGAGACAUUGCGAGAGAGACGGGAGAUGGGAUGGGGACUGUGAAGGUCAACUUUUAGAGUGUGACAUUGAAGAGCGUGAAGAACAAGAGGGAGAGGAAAAGGAGUAAAAACUGUUGUCUCAGAGGGGCAAUUCAGCAGUUCCUGCAACCUGUUGAUCAGGACGGGACGUUCACACAGAGUCGGAGUAAAAGUCUGCCUGCUGUUCAAAUGUACUGUGUUGUUGGCACUGGAAUAUUGCCCCGUUAUGAGGUCUGCCACUGUGGACCGGCUCCAUUACAAAGAAUACAUCUGCUGGCAGGCGUCACUCGGUGAUGCUCAUUUUCCAACCCUACGCCUCCGUCGAGGUGCAACAAGUUGCCACGGUUGCGAGCUACCACAUCUUGUUGUGACCGUGUGGAGACCGGCCUAGGCUUUAAAAAGCGCAACUCGUAAAACAGAAAGGAAAUUAAGAAGACGUACAACUGGGAUCUAAAACGGGCCGCACUGGGUACAUUUUUAUGUUGACAUUUUGGUUUUCUGUUAACCGAGCGAUUAAAAAAACUGUCCCGAAGGCAAUGUAAAUGUACACUUUAGUUUACUGUAGAGUCAAAAAAGUUGAUUUUGAAAGUUAGCGAGAACAGACAAUGCUAUUCUGUUUUCUUCCCAGUAGCACCCAAACACUGAACCUCACUUUGGCCUGGUGAAAACUGGAAAGCUUCCACAUGAGAUGCUGCUUUUAGCUCAAAACGAUGCUCACAACUGGGCUGGAAAAAGUUUGCGUUCUAUUUAUGGAAGCUCUGUCUAAACACUAGAUUUGUGAAACAGAGGUGCCCGCUUUAGUGAUAACAUUUCCCGGCCACUGCCCCAAAGAGACAACAGACAGCCAGCUAAAGCUUAUUUAGAGUCUGGAGUUCCCACUGACUCAUACCUUGUACACAGCAAAAUAUUCAAGCUGCUGAAAAUAAGAGCAACUCAAAGGAGGGCGGCAAAAUGAGCGGAUCAGCCGGGAUCUGGAGACUGGAAUGGUGUUCAUUAAAUAAAGUUUAUCCUGUCCAGACAAGUGAAAUUCAACCAAAAGAAAUUCACAGCAUUAUGUUGUGCUCCGGGGCGGGAUGGCUGUGUGUGCUUCUCUUCUUCUCCUUUUUUUUUCUUUUAAGGAAUACGCAGGAUCAGACUUUAUGUUUUCACAAUGUAUAAAAGCAAAGGUUCUCUAUGCAACAUGAAAAUCCCUAACAAUUUCUUAAGAGAUUUUGCUGUAACUUAGCAGCAGAGGAAACAUGC